UACAGAGGUCUCAAGCGUUGUUCGGAUUCAUUGGGCGUAAAGGGUGCGUAGGUGGUGGGGUAAGUCGGAUGUGAAAUCCCGGGGCUCAACCCCGGAACUGCAUUCGAAACUGCCUUGCUCGAGUACUGGAGAGGAGACUGGAAUUUACGGUGUAGCAGUGAAAUGCGUAGAUAUCGUAAGGAAGACCAGUGGCGAAGGCGGCAUCCUGGACUAACACUGACACUGAGGAGCGAAAGCCAGGGGAGCAAACGGG
rnacentral:rRNA from 1 species